rnacentral:rRNA from 1 species
GACGAACGCUGGCGGCGUGCUUAACACAUGCAAGUCGAACGGAAAGGCCCUGCUUUUGUGGGGCGCUCGAGUGGCGAACGGGUGAGUAACACGCGAGUAACCUGCCCUUGACUUUGGGAUAACUUUAGGAAACUGGGGCUAAUAUCGGAUAGGAGCUCCUGCUGCACGGUGGGGGUUGGUAAGUUUCGGCGGUUGGGGAUGGACUCGCGGGUUAUCAGCUUGUUGGUGGGGUAGUGGCUUUCACAGGCUUUGACGGGUAGCCGGCCUGGGAGGGUGACCGGCCACAUUGGGACUAAGAGACGGCGCAGACGCCUACGGGAGGCAGCGGGGGAGAAUAUUACGCAAUGGGCGGAAGCCUGAUGCAGCAGCGCCGCGUGCGGAAUGACGGCCUUCGGGUUAUAAACCGCUUUCGCCUGUGACGAAGCGUUAGUGACGGUAAUUGGUAAAGAAGCACCGGCUAACUACGUG